rnacentral:rRNA from 1 species
GACGAAGGGGGCGUAGCGUUGUUCGGUAAUUACUGGGCGGUAAAGACGCGUGUAGGCGGUUUUCCUAAGUUGGGUGUGAAAGCCUUGGGCUUAACCCAAGAAAUGCACUCAGUACUGGAAGACUAGAGGACCGGAGAGGAUAGUGGAAUUCCCCAGUGUAGUGGUGAAAUACGUAGAGAUUGGGAAGAACACCAGUGGCGAAGGCGGCUAUCUGGACGGUUUCUGACGC